rnacentral:rRNA from 1 species
UACGUAGGGGGCAAGCGUUGUCCGGAUUUAUUGGGCGUAAAGAGCGUGUAGGCGGCCACACAGGUCUGCUGUGAAAACUCGAGGCUCAACCUCGAGCUGUCGGUGGAAACCGUGUGGCUAGAGUCCGGAAGAGGAGAGUGGAAUUCCCGGUGUAGCGGUGAAAUGCGCAGAUAUCGGGAAGAACACCCGUGGCGAAGGCGGUUGCCUGGGGCUUUGCUGACGCUGAUGCGCGAAAGCGUGGGGAGCGAUCCGG